GACGAACGCUGGCGGCGUGCUUAACACAUGCAAGUCGAGCGGAAAGGCCCUUCGGGGUACUCGAGCGGCGAACGGGUGAGUAACACGUGAGUAAUCUGCCCUUCACUCUGGGAUAGCCACCGGAAACGGUGAUUAAUACCGGAUACGACCAAUCCCUGCAUGGGGUGUUGGUGGAAACUUUUUGGGUGGGGGAUGUGCUCGCGGCCUAUCAGCUUGUUGGUGGGGUAAUGGCCUACCAAGGCUUCGACGGGUAGCCGGCCUGAGAGGGUGACCGGCCACACUGGGACUGAGACACGGCCCAGACUCCUACGGGAGGCAGCAGUGGGGAAUAUUGGACAAUGGGCGGAAGCCUGAUCCAGCAACGCCGCGUGAGGGAUGACGGCCUUCGGGUUGUAAACCUCUUUCAGCACCGACGAAGCGCAAGUGACGGUAGGUGCAGAAGAAGGACCGGCCAACUACGUGCCAGCCGCCGCGGUAAAAC
rnacentral:rRNA from 1 species